CUGCGGCUGCAUCACGUCGUAGGUGAGGAUGACGGCAGCCGCGCCCCGGCAGUACAUGGAGCCCAAGCCGUGGAACUGCUCUCGCCGUUUCUCUCUUGAGUCAGGAUAGCGCUCUGUCGCUAAACGGCCCGCGAUGGGCGGCCCCAGCUUCCGACCCUCCGGCCUCAGCGUCGCGGACCGUGGGACUCUCGGGCCUGGCAGUACAGCCGUUGAAGCCGUCUCCGCCCACUUCCCCGCCCCCCAGCCAGUGUGAGGAGUCCGCCCUUCGUGUGCUGGAGGUCCCCCUGAGAGGUGACGCUGGACCGGAGGCGACAGCAGUGGCCGAGCCAGGCCGGGGAGCGCGCCCCGCGAGUAAGCCGCGGCGCCGCGUAGCUGCGGAGAGGACGCCGGGAGCUGGGCACACGGGUUGGA